rnacentral:rRNA from 1 species
UACGAAGGGGGCUAGCGUUGCUCGGAAUCACUGGGCGUAAAGCGCACGUAGGCGGCUUCUUAAGUCGGGGGUGACAUCCUGGAGCUCAACUCCAGCACUGCCUUCGAUACUGGGAAGCUCGAGUCCGGGAGAGGUGAGUGGAACUCCGAGUGUAGAGGUGAAAUGCGUAGAUAGUCGGAAGAACACCAGUGGCGAAGGCGGCUCACUGGCCCGGUACUGACGCUGAUGUGCGAAAGCGUGGGGAGCAAACAGG